CGUGUAGGCGGGAAGGAAAGUCAGAUGUGAAAUCCCUGGGCUCAACCCAGGAACUGCAUUUGAAACUCCCUUUCUUGAGUACCGGAGAGGAAGGUGGAAUACCUGGUGUAGAGGUGAAAUUCGUAGAUAUCAGGUGGAACACCAGUGGCGAAGGCGGCCUUCUGGACGGUAACUGACGCUGAGACGCGAAAGCGUGGGGGAGAAAC
rnacentral:rRNA from 1 species